rnacentral:tmRNA from 1 species
GGGGGCGACAAGGUUUCGACGGGAUGGUUGAGGUCUUAGUUGCGUGCCGAGGACCCCGGUAGACUCGUCAACAUCCGGAAAAAACUAAAUGCAGACGAACAGUUUGCUCUUGCUGCUUAAUUAAAUACAGCAACGUCGAAGCACCUACACCUGCUAAGUGUGGAGGCGUCAUACAGCAGGUUGGUCUUGAGUUGAGUAACCGGACUCAGGGCGACUUUUUACGAGGAUACUGGCGUACAUAGUGGUGUGUUCCUGCACAGCUUUGUAGGCGAGACUUAAUUAGGAAAUACGCACGUAGACGCUAAGGUUGCUUCAUUUCGGACGGGAGUUCGACUCUCCCCGCCUCCACCA